rnacentral:rRNA from 1 species
CCUACGGGAGGCAGCAGUGAGGAAUAUUGCGCAAUGGACGAAAGUCUGACGCAGCAACGCCGCGUGGGCGAAGAAGGCCUUCGGGUUGUAAAGCCCUUUUCUGAGGGAAGAGUAAGGACGGUACCUCAGGAAUAAGUCUCGGCUAACUACGUGCCAGCAGCCGCGGUAAAACGUAGGAGGCAAGCGUUAUCCGGAUUUAUUGGGCGUAAAGCGCAUGCAGGUGGUUUCGUAAGUCGGAUGUGAAAGCCUCUGGCUUAACUGGAGGAGGUCGUUCGAUACUGCGGAACUAGAGGUCGGAAGAGGGAAGCGGAAUUCCCGGUGUAGGGGUGGAAUGCGUAGAUAUCGGGAGGAACACCAGUGGCGAAGGCGGCUUCCUGGUCCGUACCUGACGCUAAGAUGCGAAAGCGUGGGGAGCGAACGGGAUUAGAUACCCCUGUAGU